rnacentral:sRNA from 1 species
CCUGGGGCGUUGCCCCAGGCUACCCUAUUUCGCCCUUACAGGGCU